AUUUUUAGGUAAACGCUGCAUUUAUAUGUAGAGGAAAGUCCAUGCUCGCACUCUUCUGUGAUGAGAGUAGUGUUUGUGUAUAGGGAAAAAAUAACCUAUAGUAGUUUAUGCUAACGACGAUGAAUAAUCCUAAGGUUUUCUAUGGAUUUAGUAGUCAUAAAGUGCCGCAGUGACGAUAUUUUCCGAAAGGAAAAAGUGAAACGAUUGGUAAACUCCGCAAGCGAGAAACCCAAAAUAUGGUAGGGGAACCUGUGUAAGGGAAAAAAGAACUAAGCAUAGGAUGAGUUAAUCAUAGAUAAAUGUUUACCACCUAGUAAUAGGUACAGAACAUGGCUUAUUAAA
rfam:Clostridium sp. CAG:433 genomic scaffold, scf21